GCCUAGUUAGCUUAGUUGGUAGAGCGUCUGCCUUGUAAGCGCUAGGCCGCGGGUUCGAUUCCCGCCCGGGGCG
rfam:Asian citrus Psyllid, Diaphorina citri - Florida Strain, whole genome shotgun sequence.